rnacentral:lncRNA from 1 species
GGCGUAAGCUCUCUUCUCUCUCUGGUGACUGGAAUGAGCGAUGGUGGUUGCUUAGGUAGCUACGCCUUAAACGAAAGUGUUUUGAUGUGUUGUGAACUUUUAAUUGUGGUGUUGGAUUUUCGCAGCAACCUGAAGCUAAGUAAGAGAGAGAGAGAAAGGUUGUACGCAGUUUUACGUUUUGAUAAUUUACUUUUUUGUACUACUGUUUGUUUUAUUAAUAAAUUCAGGUUUGACUAAUGGAAGCUUUGUUGGAGACUGUACAGUCUAUUCCAAAAUGUAUUGCAGGUUGCUCCUAGGAGGAUGAGAAACCGG